UGGGGAAUAUUGGACAAUGGGCGCAAGCCUGAUCCAGCCAUACCGCGUGGGUGAAGAAGGCCUUCGGGUUGUAAAGCCCUUUUGUUGGGAAAGAAAUCCAGCCGGCUAAUACCUGGUUGGGAUGACGGUACCCAAAGAAUAAGCACCGGCUAACUUCGUGCCAGCAGCCGCGGUAAUACGAAGGGUGCAAGCGUUACUCGGAAUUACUGGGCGUAAAGCGUGCGUAGGUGGUCGUUUAAGUCCGUUGUGAAAGCCCUGGGCUCAACCUGGGAACUGCAGUGGAUACUGGGCGACUAGAGUGUGGUAGAGGGUAGCGGAAUUCCUGGUGUAGCAGUGAAAUGCGUAGAGAUCAGGAGGAACAUCCAUGGCGAAGGCAGCUACCUGGACCAACACUGACACUGAGGCACGAAAGCGUGGGGAGCAAACAGGAUUAGAUACCCUGGUAGUCCACGCCCUAAACGAUGCGAACUGGAUGUUGGGUGCAAUUUGGCACGCAGUAUCGAAGCUAACGCGUUAAGUUCGCCGCCUGGGGAGUACGGUCGCAAGACUGAAACUUAAAUGAAUUGAC
rnacentral:rRNA from 1 species